rnacentral:rRNA from 1 species
CCCUUAGAUGUUCUGGGCCGCACGCGUGCUACACUGAGUGGAUCAGCGGGUCAGGUUGCGCGAAAGUGUUUCCUAAUCUUUAAAUCCGCUCGUGAUGGGGAUUGACGGUUGCAAUUUUCCGUCAUGAACGAGGAAUACCUUGUAAGCGCGGGUCAUCAUCCCGCGCUGAAUACGUCCCUGCCCUUUGUACGCACCGCCCGUCGCUCCUACCGAUUGAAUGGCUUAGUGAGCUCUAGGGACUGUUGCCUCGUGUUGGGUUUCCAGCACUAGGACGACGGGAACUAGAUCAAACUUGAUCAUUUAGAGGAAGUAAAAGUCGUAACA